GAUGAACGCUGGCGGCGUGCCUAAUACAUGCAAGUCGAGCGAACGGACGAGAAGCUUGCUUCUCUGAUGUUAGCGGCGGACGGGUGAGUAACACGUGGAUAACCUCCCUAUAAGACUGGGAUAACUUCGGGAAACCGGAGCUAAUACCGGAUGAUAUUUUGAACCGCAUUGUUCAAAAGUGAAAGACGGUCUUGCUGUCACUUAUAGAUGGAUCCGCGCUGCAUUAGCUAGUUGGUAAGGUAACGGCAUACCAAGGCAACGAUGCAUAGCCGACCUGAGAGGGUGAUCGGCCACACUGGAACUGAGACACGGUCCAGACUCCUACGGGAGGCAGCAGUAGGGAAUCUUCCGCAAUGGGCGAAAGCCUGACGGAGCAACGCCGCGUGAGGGAUGAAGGUCUUCGGAUCGUAAAACUCUGUUAUUAGGGAAGAACAUAUGUGUAAGUAACUGUGCACAUCUUGACGGUACCUAAUCAGAAAGCCACGGCUAACUACGUG
rnacentral:rRNA from 1 species